rnacentral:rRNA from 1 species
UACGUAGGGGGCGAGCGUUGUCCGGAGUUACUGGGCGUAAAGGGCAUGUAGGCGGUCUGCUAAGUUCGGAGUGACAGUCACCAGCUUAACUGGUGAAGGACUUUGAAAACUGGUGGACUUGAGAGCGAAAGAGGGACACGGAAUUCCGGGUGGAGCAGUGAAAUGCGUAGAGAUCCGGAGGAACACCAAAGGCGAAGGCAGUGUCCUGGCUCGUUUCUGACGCUGAGGUGCGAAAGCCAGGGGAGCGAACGGG